AUGGAACAAAGCCUGAUCUCCUGUAGCAAGAGUGGAUUCUUCCAGGAGAUUCCCUUGGCCUGUAACUGCAGUCCUUCCUCUGGUUUCCAGCCUGCUGGCCUCCCACAUCAGACUUUGGACUCCUUAACCCUCCUCAAUCCUGUGAGAUUCUUCAGAGGCUCAAGGACAUGCAGUGUCACAGCAGACGGAGUCACAAGGAGCUGUGACAGUCCAUUCAGUAUGGGAAGGAGUUCCAGAAUAUAAAAUGGUGCUGAUCUUCUAUCAAGCUUUUUUGUUUGAGAAAAUAUUGUUAUUUUAUUAAAAUGUUAGUGAUGUUAUGAUGUAUUUCUUAUUAUUGAGGAUUUUUGUUGUUAUUAUAAGUGAAUCAAUAAAUUAGUUUUUAAAAAUUUUUCUCAGGUUUGAUUUCUAACAUAGCAAAUAUCAACAGGCCCAGUCCACUUAAGCUUCUUG
rnacentral:lncRNA from 1 species